UACAGAGGUCUCAAGCGUUGUUCGGAUUCAUUGGGCGUAAAGGGUGUGUAGGUGGCGCGCUAAGUCGGGUGUGAAAUUUCGGAGCUUAACUCCGAAACUGCAUUCGAUACUGGCGUGCUUGAGGACUGGAGAGGAGACUGGAAUUCAUGGUGUAGCAGUGAAAUGCGUAGAGAUCAUGAGGAAGACCAGUGGCGAAGGCGGGUCUCUGGACAAGUUCCGUGACACUGAGGCACGAAGGCCAGGGAGCAAACGGG
rnacentral:rRNA from 1 species